rnacentral:rRNA from 1 species
AUGGCCGUCGCCGCCGACUCCGCCGAUCCCGCCGUCGCCACCUCCACCUGCGCGCACUGUAACCGAGAGAUUCCGUCUCCGAACAUCACGCUGCAUUCUGCACACUGUGCUCGCAACCUUCAUGUGAAAUGUGAGCAUUGUGGAGAUAUGGUCCCAAGGAAGCACAUGGAUAGGCACUACGACGAUAACCAUGCUCCGGUGAAUUGCCCACGCUGCGAACAAACUGUGGAGCAUGAGCUGUGGGAUCUUCAUAAACGCUUACAGUGCCCACAAAGGAUGCUUGCGUGCCAAUAUUGCAAGUUUGAACUACCCGCGGAUGACAUUUUUGAGCAUCAGGAUGUAUGUGGAAAUCGAACAAAAUAUUGUCAACCUUGCAACAAGGACAUCAGACUUCGCGAAUGGAUUGGACACGAGCUCCUACUCCAUUCAAAAACAAAUGCUGCUGCAGAAUCCUCAAGUGACAGAUCCAUGCUGGAAAAAGAAGAGGGCGGUCGUCACAAGCAAGUACGCCCGGCUUUUGGUUUGAAACACAAGCAACUGCUCCUCACAAUUGCAAUAACCGGACUUGCUGUACUGAUUGGAUCCAUUCUGUUCCAAAGAAGGAUUGGAAGUUCCGAAGCCCAGUGA